UCCAUUCACGUAAUAAAGGCCUGGAUUAAGGGGAAUCACGAGUAAUGGGAUUCGGUAUCAUAACGGUUCGCUUUUCGGGGAUUCUCGCUGUUACCGGUGAAGACAGCCUUCAGGGAGGCCUUCGAUCAACUCCACAUCAAUUCGUGAGCCUUUCCCCUCCAUAAAUUCUAGCGACCAGCUCCGCCCUGCGAAUCUACCAUGAUCGACAGCAAGGAGAAGGCUGUCGAUGUGAUUUUCGGCUAAAAGGCUCCUCCUUUUUGCAAAUUCAAGCCGGAUAUGGAGUGCAGGAGAAAAUCCAAGCAAUCUGGUAGCCUUUUCGGACGAAAUUGAUUUUUCGAACACCGUGGUGACUAGCCGGUGAGAGUCUGACGAGGCUUCUUAGAGACAGAAUUUUCUCUUUUUCGAAUUAUCACAAAUAUUCAACUUGAUUUUUAAUUGAUGCUUUCUAGAAUGACAAGACAAAAGCCGGAAGGAAGUAGGAACACUACAAAAAAAUCGCCAUUUUGCGACUGAUUAUUGUGACCGACCUAAUUUGGUCGCAAUUUUGUUACCGAUUUGCGACCUAUAGACAAGCAGUAACUGAUUGUAGUGCUAAAAAUUCCCGCGAGUUUGUUUUCCAGUUUGCGACACGUGUACGACGGAUUUACGACCAAUUUUGCGACCAUGAAUUAUUCCGUCGCAAAAUUGCGCGCUUC